UUCAGUUUUGUAAUCCCUCUGAAGUACCGGUACUCCUCCCAGUUACCAGUACUCAACACUAAAAUCCUGCACUUUAUAGAUUUCAGUAUUAGAACUCUACUCUCGCACCGCGCAGAGUCCGUUUUGCGUCCACUUCGGGCCAAAACGACUCCGACUUGUCCCAACAUCCACCAAACACGUCAACAAGCCACAGAUGCUGAAGUCUCUCAGACAGCUAAACAUCAGGGACACUACAAUAAUUGUUGUUCACACUCCUAUUUUUAUUUUUAAAAUUAAAAAUUUAAAUUAAAAUUUCAAACUUUAAAAUUUGAGAUUAAAUUUAAAUUUGAAAAAUAUAAAAUAUCAAAUUUUAAGUUUAAAAAUUUUAAAAUAUCAAAUUUAAAAUUUAAAAUUAGAAUUUAAAAUUAAAAACUUUAAUUUUGAGAUUACAAAUUAUAAAUUUUAAAAAUUUAAAUUCAAAUAUAAUAAGAGGUGUAAUAUCAUUAUUUCUUAUUUAUAACUACACACUAUUCUUCUUAUUUCAUCUUAUCGAUACAAACGCUAUUUUUCUUAUUCACGAAAAUAAUUUAAUUUUCAUUUAAAUACAAAAUUAAUAUAAUUCUUGCUUAUAUCUGAACUUAUAUCUAUUUCUGAAAUAGACAGUUUGUACUUAUACCGGAACCAAAAGGAUAAGCGCGCAUCUCAUGAAUUU
rnacentral:lncRNA from 1 species